ensembl:lincRNA
UCGAAACACUUUAGUCACGUGACUUGGGUGCUUCGGAUCAUGCUUCGGUGCAGUGAUUCGAAACACUUGCGCUUCGGGAUCUCGACACUGUGUCAAAACAUCAGUUUCACGUCAGCCAUCCCUAGUUAAGAGCAGGCCAACGACGUUUCUGCUAAAUCAUAGGACUGAAAUAUUGACAAUGACAUAAUUCAAUGCAAGAUUUCCUUGAGGAGGUGAGACUUGUUAUCAUCAGUGAAAUUUGACGGUCAUUCACCAGCAGAUGCAAGAAACCUUUUCUCUUUGCCCAAAAGAAGUUGUUGAGAUUUAGCCAGGAAGAAAUUAGAGAGAGAUAACCUGGACUUUAAGGAAGAGAUCUGCACAGAGUUUUCUCAGAUCUGUAAUGUAGAUCUCCUGAGACAGUUAAUCGAGUGACUUGAUAAAUAUACAGCACCUCUCCUGAAACUCUACAGAAAAGAAGGGAUUCAAUGGGUCCAGAGAUGGAUACAACUUUAAACAAGAUGGAUGAGCAGGUCACUGAUAUUGUCACCGAUCGAGAAAGAGCAGCUCUUGAGGGAUUGCCAAUUUUUCUUCGUAAAAAUUCUGCUUGCUUUCUCAAGAUAUGUCUGGACACGGACCCUGAAGACCACAGCACCAGAGAUUAAAGGAUUGGAAUCUUCACUGUGGUGGAAGAUGAUAAUGGCACUUCUGCAUCCCUGCAAUAUGUGAUGAACCUCGCUAAAAUCUUGGAGGAGGCCAUAGUACUUCAGGAUAUCACACAUCUGCCUGCAGCCUUCGCUUACUUGUUCAGCCUCUUGUAUAGACUGAAUAUGGAACACCCAAAAGAACUCAAAUAUACUUUUUAAGUGAUUCAGCAUGUUUUAUGGAGGUUGGUGGCACAUGAUCUGCGAGAGUUCAGUUCAUUCAUUCAUUCAUUUUCUUUUCGGCUUAGUCCCUUUAUUAAUCUAGGGUCGCCACAGCGCAAUGAACUUGUUUUACGCAGCGUAUGCCCUUCCGGCUGCAACCCAUCUCUGGAAAACAUCCAUACACACUCAUUCACACAUACACUACGGACAAUUUUAGCCUACCCAAUUCACCUGUGCCACACGUCUUUGGACUGUGGGGGAAACCGGAGAACCCAAAGGAAACCCACGUGAACGCAGGGAGAACAUUCAAACUCCACACAGUAACGGCAACUGACCCGUGACCACUUCCUAAUGUGCCACUGUUUCAAUGUUUUGAGGUCUGUUUUUGGACUUUAUGUACUUUGUUGACAAAAGUGCAGUACACUUUAAAGACUGUUUGAAUGGAGUGGCUUUUAGGGUUUACUCUGAUUAGAUGAUUGUAUAUUCACCUGGUUUGAGUGUUUAGACACACUAAUAGCUUGGUUUUAGUAAGGUUGCCAGUUAUUUUAUGUUGAGGCAGUGUACAAUCUUUUCAAAUCUGGAAACAUUCAGUACUAGUUGUGUACAAACUAGCCCAAUGCUGAACACGGCUAAUGUCAAAUGCUGAUUUUGUAUGCAAAUGUUUUGGAUUGUGAUUUAAACACAGUUAAAAAUAAAAAAAAGUGAAUUGACUAUUCUUGUGUAUUUAAUUUGAAUCCUAAAAAUUAAUAGUAAAUGCAUAAUGAAUCAGUUUGUUUUAUUUUGUUCAGUAAACUAAAAAAAUCUUGUUGGGUAAACAUAAUCAUUUUUGUUCAGUAAACAAAAGAUCUUGUUGAAUAAACGUGAAAAUUUUUGUUCAGCAAACAAAAGAUCUUGUUGAGUAAACAUGAUAAUAUUUGUUCAGCAAACAAAAAUAUCUUGUUGGGUGAACAUGACAUUUUUUGUUCAGCAAACAAAAAUAUCCUGUUGGUUGAACAUGAUAUUUUUUGUUCAGCAAACAAAAAUGUCUUGUUGAAUGAACAUGAUAUUUUUGGUUCAGCAAACAAAAAUAUCCUGUUGGUUGAACAUGAUAUUUUUUGUUCAGCAAACAAAAAUAUCUUGUUGGGUGAACAUGAUACUUUUUGUUCAGAGAACUAAAGAAUUCAACAAAAUAUUUUGAGUUCACUGGUCUUCAAACCCUGUUUGUUGAGUUAACUCAAAAAGCUAUGUGUGAUAGGUUGCCUAAUUAUUUUAAGUUUACUCAACUUUUUUUUUUUACAGUGUAUAUAUAUUAAAUGUACUAACAUACCUGAAUGAUGCAGCUGAAAUAGUGGACUUCUCCUUUCGAAAAAUUAACCUUCUCUCGAGGCUCUUCACCACUGGUCCAUGACGAUGUCCUUGUCAAUGACUGACGUCACCAGAGGGCUUUUUUAUGAUUAUUAGUUUCAAAUAAAUUAUUAAACCAUAACAACAUGUUAUUGCACAGUCUAAAUAAAUUAGUCAUUUUAUUUAUUUCACAAAAUAAUUUGUCAAAAAUGUUAAACAUAAACUAGGCCUAUAAGUUAUAUGCUAUUGUACAAACCUGCAAAAAAAAAUCCCAUCAUAAUGUACACUGAUUAAGUUUUUGACCACAGCAUUCAUUUUAUUAGGUUUUGACUCAAAAAGCUUUGUCUCUCUGUGUUAUAACUUAUAAUUAUUUUAUAAUCUUUACUAGAUAAUUAUGUUAUGAUUCAAAAAUUAUAGAACCAUUUUAAUCAAAAAGGUUCUUUGCAGUCAAAGGGUUCUAAAUGGAACCAUUUUUUGGGUAAAAGGUUCUACUGGCCAAGUAUAGAACCCCAAGGUUCUAUAUAGAACCUCAAGGAACCUUUUUUUUAAGAGUGUAGUAUAACAGACUAUUUUGUUCAUGAAUUUUUAUUUUAGUGGUGGUUCCAUUUG